ensembl:ncRNA lncRNA:CR46100 long non-coding RNA:CR46100
GCAAUACCUGACUGGCCUUGAGUCGAUGGAGCAAACUCAAUCAAGGUUCUUGCAACGUGAUUUACAGCUAAACAAAACCGAAAGCCAACAAGAGCAGUAAUAAUAAUAAUAACCAUCAUAGUCAAUGUGGAUGGGGCAACUGCAUGUUUUGAAGUUUUCGGUUCCCAUCAUCGCAUAUGUAUGCCCACAAAAAUGCAUUAUUUAUGAGCGUAAAAUUGUAAGAAAAACGCCAGCACGUUUUGAUCGAUUGAAAAUAAAUAUUCGAAGAACAAACAAGUGCAGUUUGAAUAGAAAGACCAUACUCUUCUCAACAAGGUUGUAAUUAUUUUCUGGACAGAGAAAAAAGACACAAAUAUAUUAAACAUUAGAAACCGAAAACUGCAGAUACAUUUCUAGAGUAUCCAAAUAUCCGCUGGCGCAGCAAAAGAAAAACCCGUAAAUAUAGAUUGCAUAAUGGCGAAAACAUGAUGAUGAUUGGCCAUAUAAGGCGGCUACUCCUCAAAACCUCUCCGCAUUCAAUUUAUUUAUACAGAUAUCAGAUGUGCAACUGUGGCACGAAUGAAAACGAGUGGUUCCGCCUUAAAGCAGACAUUUUGCGAUGUUUGCUGGCAAAUCGUUUUUCGGCUUUUAUGG